rnacentral:rRNA from 1 species
UAAUGGGUCAGCGACUUAUAUUCAGUGGCAAGGUUAACCAUCUAGGGGAGCCGUAGGGAAACCGAGUCUUAACUGGGCGUUCAGUCUCUGGAUAUAGACCCGAAACCAGGUGAUCUAGCCAUGGGCAGGUUGAAGGUUGAGUAACAUCAACUGGAGGACCGAACCGACUAAUGUUGAAAAAUUAGCGGAUGACUUGUGGCUAGGGGUGAAAGGCCAAUCAAACCUGGAGAUAGCUGGUUCUCCCCGAAAGCUAUUUAGGUAGCGCCUCGGACGAAUACUACUGGGGGUAGAGCACUGUUAAGGCUAGGGGGUCAUCCCGACUUACCAACCCUUUGCAAACUCCGAAUACCAGUAAGUACUAUCCGGGAGACACACGGCGGGUGCUAACGUCCGUCGUGGAGAGGGAAACAACCCAGACCGCCAGCUAAGGUCCCAAAUUACUACUAAGUGGGAAACGAUGUGGGAAGGCUCAGACAGCCAGGAUGUUGGCUUAGAAGCAGCCAUCAUUUAAAGAAAGCGUAAUAGCUCACUGGUCGAGUCGGCCUGCGCGGAAGAUGUAACGGGGCUAAGUAGUAAACCGAAGCUGCGGCAAUGUGCUUUUGCACAUUGGGUAGGGGAGCGUUCUGUAAGCGGUUGAAGGUGUGUGGUAACGCAUGCUGGACGUAUCAGAAGUGCGAAUGCUGACAUGAGUAACGAUAAAGGGGGUGAAAAACCUCCUCGCCGGAAGACCAAGGGUUCCUGUCCAACGUUAAUCGGGGCAGGGUAAGUCGACCCCUAAGGCGAGGCCGAAAGGCGUAGUCGAUGGGAAACGGGUUAAUAUUCCCGUACUUCUUACAAUUGCGAUGGGGGGACGGAGAAGGCUAGGUGGGCCUGGCGACGGUUGUCCAGGUUCAAGUGCGUAGGCUUAAGAGUUAGGUAAAUCCGGCUCUUUUUAAGGCUGAGACACGACGUCGAGCACCUACGGGUGUGAAGUCAUUGAUGCCAUGCUUCCAGGAAAAGCCUCUAAGCUUCAGAUUGUAAGGAAUCGUACCCCAAACCGACACAGGUGGUCGGGUAGAGAAUACCAAGGCGCUUGAGAGAACUCGGGUGAAGGAACUAGGCAAAAUGGUACCGUAA